GGAGAGCGGAAUUCCACGUGUAGCGGUGAAAUGCAUAGAGAUGUGGAGGAACACCAGUGGCGAAGGCGGCUCUCUGGUCUGUAACUGACGCUGAGGCGCGAAAGCGUGGGGAGCGAACAGGAUUAGAUACCCUGGUAGUCCACGCCGUAAACGAUGAGUGCUAAGUGUUAGAGGGUUUCCGCCCUUUAGUGCUGCAGCAAACGCAUUAAGCACUCCGCCUGGGGAGUACGGCCGCAAGGCUGAAACUCAAAGGAAUUGACGGGGGCCCGCACAAGCGGUGGAGCAUGUGGUUUAAUUCGAAGCAACGCGAAGAACCUUACCAGGUCUUGACAUCCUCUGACAACCCUAGAGAUAGGGCGUUCCCCUUCGGGGGACAGAGUGACAGGUGGUGCAUGGUUGUCGUCAGCUCGUGUCGUGAGAUGUUGGGUUAAGUCCCGCAACGAGCGCAACCCUUGAUCUUAGUUGCCAGCAUUCAGUUGGGCACUCUAAGGUGACUGCCGGUGACAAACCGGAGGAAGGUGGGGAUGACGUCAAAUCAUCAUGCCCCUUAUGACCUGGGCUACACACGUGCUACAAUGGAUGGAACAAAGGGUCGCGAAGCCGCGAGGUCGAGCCAAUCCCAUAAAUCCAUUCUCAGUUCGGAUUGCAGGCUGCAACUCGCCUGCAUGAAGCCGGAAUCGCUAGUAAUCGCGGAUCAG
rnacentral:rRNA from 2 species